UACGAAGGGUGCAAGCGUUACUCGGAAUUACUGGGCGUAAAGCGUGCGUAGGCGGUCUGUCGCGUCGGCUGUGAAAACCCGGAGCUCAACUCCGGGCCUGCAGUCGAUACGGGCAGACUGGAGUUCGGCAGGGGAGACUGGAAUUCCUGGUGUAGCGGUGAAAUGCGCAGAUAUCAGGAGGAACACCGGUGGCGAAGGCGGGUCUCUGGGCCGAUACUGACGCUGAGGAGCGAAAGCGUGGGGAGCGAACAGG
rnacentral:rRNA from 1 species